AUUACAGAUGCACAAUUUAAUUAAUAUUUUAAAUAGAAUUAAAAUUGGAAGGGUAAAAAUGUAAUAAUAGAUUUAACAAUUCCACGGCAGAAUACCUAUUCCUAAUUCAGUUUUUUUUUCACUUUUUAUCUAGGGCAUCUCGAAUCCGCCUCCUAUGCAUCUCGAGUUCACCGUCUGAGAAGAGUCACGGCGGCGAUCUACGGCGUUUCCGGCGGCGGCGAGAUUCUUGGUCGUCGGUCUGUAGCACGUAGCGUCUGAGAAGAGUCACGGCAGCCGAUCUGUGCAAGGCGCGGCGACUGAGCAAGGCGCAACUGCCGUUCCCGGACGAAGACACAGGGUUCGGCGGUGAGGAUUAAGUUGGGUCUUCGGCGUUCCCGGCGGAAUCGGCGGCUUCGACGAUCUGUAACAGGCGGCGGCGGCUUUGACGAUCUGUAAAUCAAGCGAUUAUUCAAGCGAUUCGGCGUUUUUUUUCUUCAAACGAUUCGAAACAGGGGCAUUCUGAUGCAUAGAUGUUUGAUUGUUGGUGCAUAGAUGUUUGAUUGUUGGUGCAUAGAUGUUGGAUUGUGAUGCAUUGUUGUCAAACUUGAUUGGAUAUUGAUGCAUAGAUGUUGGAUAUUGAUGCAUAGAUGUUGCGUAGUUUGAUUAAUUUUUGCGAUUCUUGGAUAGGUUUUAUUUGAUUUGCAUAGAUGAAAGAUUCUGAUGCAUAGAUAUUGAUGCAUAGACGUUGGAUUGUAAUAAAAAGAUUCUGAUGUAUAGAUGUUUGAUUAUUGGUGCAUAGAUGUUGGAUUAUGA